CAGUACAGAGUGGACAGUGGCUGGAAAUGGCGGUGUGUGGUGGUGGUAGACCUGUUGCAUUUGGGAUUUCACUGAGAGAAUAAGAAGGAAUCGACGAUGGACUGCUACGCAACUAUUGCACCAGUGCAGGAUGUCUGUGUGCCGGUUUGUGCACAAUUUCUCAGCCAGCGGGCCUGAGAAAGUGUGCCACAGCAGUCUGUGUAGUGGUGCUCUUUGUUCUGGAAGGACGCAAGCAUUGCUGAGGAGCCAUUUGACCUGCCGCCACACUAAUAUUGUAUUUGGCAAAGCCGAAGGCCUCUGCAAGCAGCCAGUCAUUCCAAGUCUCAACCAAUCCUUUCUCUAGUCAGCCAAUUUCUAGUGUCUAUGCGGAAAGGACUUGCGCAAAACUGGACACGGGACACUAAAAAGGCGACAAGGACAGGCGUAAACUUCCAACCGGUGUUCAUUACAAAAAGGUAUGUAUAUGUACUCUUGCACACUUGAUCAUAAUCUGUUACAAUCGUGCAAGUCAACAUGGUCAUCACAAAUAAACAAGCGCACCAAGGCCUAAGGCGGCUUCCCGCAUACAGACCCCAGAUAUUCAGAUUCUUUAACAGUCAGUGCUAUAGGGAUGGCUUGUUAACCCUGUUGCAUUGUGCAAUAGCCGCUGCCUCAAUGAUGAGUCUAGUGUUUUCUUUCACACUGCUUGCUAUUAUUUCUGUUUUUUCAAACAGUCGAUGACAUUUGCAUUGGCAGCAAUGGACUCCAAGGAAACCUCCUUUCCCGUUUUGUACUUUCCGAUUAUGUUCCUGUAGUCUCAAGUUUAGGGAACUUCCCAUUUGUCCUACGUAACGCUGCCUGCAGGAAGGAGGUAUGCUAUACACUAUUCCUCUUGAGCAUUUGAUGAAACCCUUUCUGUGCACAAUGUUGCAUGAUUUUGAUUGUCUGCUGACAGGGCUGGUUUUGGCGCAUAACUUGGAUAGCUUGCGGGGCGCGGAAGAAAUGACCAAGGCUGCAGUCCUUUGGCCUAUUUUCUUUAGUUACACCUAUGUGAUACUGUUCACAGGAAUCUAGCAGUCAUCCCAUACAUUACGCUAUCUUGCAUAAACUAAAGAAAAUAGGCCAAAGGGCGGGAGUUUCGGUCGUUUUUCCCGCACCCAUCAAGUUAUCUCAGUUA